AAAGUUGAAGCAGGAAUUAAUGGUCUUAGAAAAUGAAAUUGUUAACAAGCUGUGUUUGAGGUUUGAAACUGAGAGAAAUGAUGAAGAUCCGCCACCAAAGAGAAUGAGAAUUAAACUGAGUACUCCAGAAAAAGAUACACUAUCUCAUACAAUAGCUGAAGGAACUCCUUGUGUUUUUGUACAUUAUAAGAAAGGAAAGAAGCAUCGAGUUUAUCGAGUAAUAAGGUCACUACGUUGCUUAGCAAUGAGUGUUGGUCGAGGUAGUAGAAAGUCUGUUGUUAAUCAGAUGUUCAAGGAUGCCAGAAUGAGAAAAGUUACAGUGGAAAGAGUUGAAGCAUUAAUGAAUAGAGAGCUUCGUUUCACAUGUACACGUGAUGCCAACUCAAUGUUUGGAAAUAAGUCUUUAUGCAAGAUUUUGAGGGGUUACAGCUAGCAAAUGAUAUGAAAUAGACUCUGCCAACAUUAUGUAAAAUAUUGGAUAUAAGCAUGGGAUCACAAUCAGAAAUAACAAUAGCAUUGAUUGGAGGCGUCUUGCUGAAGCAAUUUAAUUAAAAGAUGUCAUUCUUGCAGCGUGUGAUGUCAGUAUUACUUUAUUCGAGCCAAACAGACUACACAAGAUCAGGGAUGCAUGUCACAUAAAAGCACUAUCAGAUACAUAGAUGCUCUAGGAGUUGAUUUUGAUGGACCAGUUAAGAAAUGGUGCCAAGACAUCAGUGAAGUUUAUUUUAACGUAUGGUGGAAAUCAAUAACUUUGUGUGACAUGUAUGACUUAUCAUAGGCGGCGGAACAAAAUUUAUUUUGGGGGGGCUGAACAUCAAUUAAGUUAU